rnacentral:sRNA from 1 species
UUUGUGAUCCUAAUCAAUGUACUUAAUUCCAGUUAAGGAGACGAAAAAUUGAAGUGAGUUUACAGCCAGAGGUUCCACCAUCCAAACAACUUUUGUCAACCAUAAUGAAAGAUUCAGAAAAACACAUUGAAGUAGAAGUACGGAAAUUUUUGGCUCUGAAGCAGACACCUGACUUUCAUACUGUCGUUGGGGACACAGUAACAGGACUUCUGGAAAGGUGUAAAGCAGAACCAUCAUUUUAUCCCCGGAACUGUCUGAUGCAGCUUAUCCAAACGCAUGUGCUUUCUUACAGGUAGCUGUUUGUGUGUACCAGACUGUACGUGCAUAAUUCUUCUGACCUUGUUUUUAUAGUUCUAAUCUUCUGAAACUCUCAGAAGGCUUAUAAAUGUUCUGCAGUUGAGAAUUUUCUUAAUAUGUAAUAGUGAUUCAGAUUUUUUUGUCUUAGUUUGUGCCCCGACUUAAUGGAGAUUGCCUUAAAAAAGAAAGAUGUACAGUUGUUACAACUCUGUCUACAGCAGUUCCCUGACAUUCCUGAAUCAGUCACCUGUGCUUGCUUAAAAAUUUUCUUGAGCAUUGGUGAUGACAGUCUUCAAGAAACAGAUGUCAGUAUGGAGUCAGUUUUUGACUAUAGUAAUUCUGUACAUGAUGAGAAAAUGGAAGAGCAAACUGAAAUUCUUCAAAAUGGCUUCAAUCCUGAAGAAGAUAAAUGCAAUAACUGUGAUCAAGAGUUAAAUAAAAAGCCCCAGGACGAAACAAAGGAGAGCACUUCAUGCCCUGUGGUACAAAAAAGAGCAGCUCUACUGUAUCCUUUGACAUAGAGCAUCCCUCUGUUUCUCUUUAUAGGGUAUAGUUAUAUGCCAAGCAAUAACCAAGGAGUAACUCAAUAACUGAAGGUUUUUCUUUCCUUUUCCAAUUGUUUUUUGUUUCUGUUUGCAAAUAGAUUAUGUUCAAUGCUACAUUAAGUAAGGUUUACUUAAACCUGUUUAAUUUAACUAGGCCGGGCAUGGUGGCUCAUGCCUGUAGUCCUAGCACUUUGGGAGGCUGAGGUGGGAGGAUUGUCUGAACCCGGGAGUCCAACACCAGCCUGGGCAACAUGGCGAGACCCCCAUCUCUACAUCAGAUUAAAAAAAAAAAGAAGAAGAAGCUGCUGCUAUACUAACACAGAAGCUCUAUCAAUUCUGAAGAUCAGUAUUCUGAAUAAAUACCAAUUAAAGUAUUCCACAUGAUCUCCAAUGAUUAGGAGAGUGUUUGGCGAUAGAGCUCUUUUAGAGAUGUAAAACUUUUGUAUAGAUUUAGAAAACUAACAUUGACAAAGGCAGUUACUCAUAAGUUCAAUAGAAUAGCUUCUAUUUAUUGAAGUAAGAUUUUCCUUUAGUCCUUAGUAAUGCAAUUCUUCAUUCAGCAUUUAGCGAAACAUUUCUUCUGCCUCAUUUGAAAGACAUCCCAGCACAGCAUAUCACGCUGUUUCUUAAGUAUUUGUAUUUCCUGUACCUUAAGUGUAGCGAAAAUGCUACUAUGACUCUUCCUGGAAUACACCCACCUACCUUGAACCAGAUUAUGGAUUGGAUAUGUCUACUUCUGGAUGCAAAUUUUACUGUUGUAGUAAUGAUGCCAGAAGCAAAGAGGCUACUGAUAAAUCUUUACAAGCUUGUAAAAUCUCAGAUAACUGUUUAUUCCGAGCUCAACAAGAUUGAAGUAAGUUUUCGGGAGCUACAGAAAUUAAAUCAAGAAAAGAAUAAUAGAGGAUUAUAUUCAAUUGAAGUGCUGGAGCUCUUCUGAUAUUAUCAAUUCUCCUUCAUAGACAUUUUAUAAAGCUCUUUUAUGUGAACUCUUGCUUCAUCCAGGCAAGAACGGUGUUUUGUUUGCGACCAUCUCGGUGUCAAGAGAAACGUGUCAGUGAGUACCUGGACCAUCACUUAACUGAUGCUCCGGGGUAGGGCUGCAGGUUUCACGUGAACCUAUUCUAGGUUGUGGACAUUGGUGCGGAGAGGUUCUGCAAUUUUUUAAAAAUACGUAACUGGGUUGAUUUUAAGUAAAAUUAUUUGUGUAUUGAUAAAAGUCUAAUUUCUUA